UUAAGUACCGCCCGGUUCUCCGACAGAAUCACAUCCAGUACCACCAAGGCCAAGGAGUAGAGCGUAAAAAUUUGAACGACAGCUCCCGCUCCACUACCUACUAGUUAGUUGUUCGUCGUCCAGUG